UGUCAUUCCAGAAAUGCAUGAAUUCACUUACCUGAAUUGAUAAGUAGCUAUAUACUGGGUGUUGCAUCCGUUUGUAUCGGUCGGUCAUCACCACCACGUUCUUAAGUCAUAGCUCAAAGCAAAUAGAAUAUACAAAUGUAGGUAGAUAUCUCAGCACGCUGUCUACCAUUUGAACAGUUUGAAACAAAUUUGUGGAGCCGUCGGCAAACAGGAAAAAAGCUUAUAAAUAUUCGCUGGUCAUUACACCAACUGCAACAAACAGUGAUACACACACCUCCACCUCCAGUAUGCAAGAGGGCAUUCGCUAUCAGAAGGCAAACAACACCAACUGCAGAUACGCUUGAUAUUCUAUAAAUGAUCCCUCAAAUCAGUCAGGUCUUCCAGAGUGAAAGCGGAAUUCGAACGAGGCACUGAGGAGCUUCGGUCAACUCUAGCUCCAGAAUGGAGGCACUACUCAACAGUCAGUGCGCGGCGCAAAGCCUUGGGCCGGCGAAUCAGCUGUUUGCCAUGCUGAUCCAAACGAUAAUGGCAGCCCAGUGUAGCAUUUCACCGCCGGACAUGUGGCCCAAGGAUUACGGCCCAACGGCGCUGAACGAAGGCCUUCAGGAGUACGAUUUCAUUAUCGUUGGGGCCGGAUCGGCUGGAUCCGUGGUGGCGAACCGACUGUCGGAAAACCCCGAUUGGAAAAUUCUACUGCUGGAAGCCGGAGGGGAUCCUCCGAUUGAAUCCGAGAUCCCUGGGUUGUUUUUGCACACUCAGAAAACAUCUAGUGAUUGGGAGUAUUACGCUGAGGUGUCCGAAAAAGCUAGCAGAGCGAUGCCUAAUGGCAGUUACUGGCCACGAGCAAAGAUGCUGGGCGGAUGUAGCUCAAUGAAUUUUAUGCUGUAUGUGCGGGGAAAUGAACGUGACUAUAACAGCUGGGCUGAAAGUGGAUGCGAUGGUUGGAGCUGGAAGGAUGUUUUGAAGUACUUCAAAAAAUUCGAAAGAAAUGAGCUUUUCGGGAAUAGCCGAUACCACUCAGUUGACGGUGAAUUGAAGGUUGGAAACUUUAGUCGGGGAAGUGAGUUGAUAGGAGUGAUUAGUGAAGCUGCAGAUGAACUGGGAUUUCCAAAAUUGACAGAUGUUAACGGAAAAAGGUAUAUUGGAGUGGUGGAAUUACAAGGAACCUUAUACGGCGGUAGAAGACAAAGUGCUGCGAAGACUUUCUUGAACUCGUUACAACGGCCAAAUUUACAUGUUAUUAAAAAUGCUCAUGUUGUGAAGGUUAUUUUCGAACAUUUAUCUGCAACCGAGGUGCAAUUCAGUCUGCAAAAUUCUGAACUUUUAAGGGUGAGGGCUAAAAAGGAAAUCAUUUUAUCGGCAGGAGCAGUGAAUACCCCACAAGUCAUGAUGCUAUCUGGGCUAGGACCAGCCAACCACUUGAAGCAGCACGGAGUACAAGCGAUCGUUGAUUUACCUGUUGGAGAAAAUCUGCAAGACCAUGUUAUCGUGACUUAUUUUAUUGCUUUGAAACCUGGAGAAAAGGAAAACGAAGCAUACGAAGAUUAUCUUCAAUACCUUCUGAAGCAAUCCGGCAUUUUUGCUGGAAAUGGAGGAACUCACAUUACCCUGUUUUUGAAUUCUGAAUCAAAAAACCACAAAUAUCCCAAUCUUCAGUAUCAUUAUCUGUUUUUCAAAAGUGGUGACAAUUAUCGUUUACCGCAGUUUUUCAAGCUGAUGGGUUAUCGCAAAGAUUUUGAAUCCACUUUACGUGAAGUUAAUGAAGCACAUGAUAUAGUUGUAGUAUGGAUUACGCUUCUAAACCCAAAAUCUACGGGGCACAUUGAGCUGAAAAAUAGCAAUCCGUACGAGAAAGUCAGAAUAUUUGCCAACUACCUCGAACAUGAGGACGAUGUCGUACUACUUGUGAAAGGACUGAAGCUACAACGCCGCUUUCUAAACACCAAGCCAUUAAAGAAAUUACACGCAUCAGAAAUCAGAUUCGUGCUUCCAGAGUGCGACAGUCAUUCAACAGAAUCGGAUGAGUACUUAUCUUGCUAUGUGAGCUUUUUCUCCACAACCAUCUAUCAUCCCGUUGGAACGGCACGGAUGGGUCCCGUAAGCGAUCAACGAACAGUAGUGGAUCCACGGCUAAGAGUACGCGGUGUCAAAGGUUUACGGGUGAUCGAUGCCAGUAUUAUGCCCAGCCUAGUAAGCGGAAAUACGAACGCUCCAGCCAUUAUGAUAGGGGAAAAAGGCGCUGAUCUCAUUAAGUCGGAUUGGCUUUCAGUUGACUCAUCACAUUUUGAACUCUAACCAAACAUCUGAUAACAACGUGUGUAGUGGUUUGUGUGCAUUUUGUCUGUUGUUCCAAGUGUUAAGUUGGUACCACUCUUCUUCCAUCUGCAAAAUUCUACUUAUGACUGGGCUUACACGAUUGAGCGUUCGAAACGGGCUUGUAAGAGCAUGCCGAAUGGAUGUUUUUGGCCGAGAGGGAAGCUGCUUGGGGGUUCAGGUGGAA